rnacentral:misc_RNA from 1 species
GAUGAAGAACGCAGCGAAAUGCGAUAAGUAAUGUGAAUUGCAGAAUUCAGUGAAUCAUCGAAUAUUUGAACGCACAUUGCGCCCGCCAGUAUUCUGGCGGGCAUGCCUGUUCGAGCGUCAUUUCAACCAUCAAGCUCCCCGGCUUGUGUUGGGGACCUGCGGCUGCCGCAGGCCCUGAAAAGCAGUGGCGGGCUCGCUGUCACACCGAGCGUAGUAGAUCUCAUCUCGCUCAGGGCGUGCUGCGGGUUCCGGCCGUUAAACCACCUUCAUAACCCAAGGUUGACCUCGGAUCAGGUAGGAAGACCCGCUGAACUUAAGCAUAUCAAUAAGCGGAGGA